rnacentral:rRNA from 1 species
GACGAACGUUGGCGGCGUGCUUAAUACAUGCAAGUCCACUGAAGCAGUGGUAGCAAUAUCGCUGUGGAGGUGGCGCACGGGUGAGUGACACGUAGGUAAUCUGCCUUCAGGUCUGGCAUAACUCCGGGAAACCGGGGCUAAUAGCAGAUGAUGCAGCGGCUCGACAUCGAGACAGUUGUUAAAGCUAUGGCGCCUGAAGAUGAGCCUGCGUCUGAUUAGCUAGUUGGCGGGGUAACGGCCCACCAAGGCAACGAUCAGUAGCUGGUCUGAGAGGAUGAUCAGCCACACUGGAACUGAGACACGGUCCAGACUCCUACGGGAGGCAGCAGUAAGGAAUAUUGCGCAAUGGGAGAAAUCCUGAAGCAGCAACGCCGCGUGAGGGACGAAGGGCUUUUGCUUGUAAACCUCUGUAGUGAGAGAAAAAAAUCCCAAUCUUUGGGACAUGAUGGUAUCUCAAAAGUAAGCCCCGGCUAACUACGU